AACGUAGGUGGCAAGCGUUAUCCGGAUUUACUGGGCGUAAAGCGUGUGCAGGCGGGUGGGCAAGUGGGGUGUGAAAUCGCCAGGCUAAACCUGGCGGGGUUAUGCCAGACUGUCCGUCUGGAGUGCGAGAGAGGGGCGUGGAAUUCCGGGUGUAGUGGUGAAAUGCGCAGAUAUCAGGAGGAACACCAAUUGCGAAGGCAGCUCGCUGGGACGUUACUGACGCUGAGACGCGAAAGCGUGGGGAGCAAACAGG
rnacentral:rRNA from 1 species